rnacentral:rRNA from 1 species
AAACAUCUUUUCUUGUUAGUUUUUGAAGUAUGGCCUGCCCACUGACUAUGGAGUUGAAGGGCCGCGGUAUUUUGACCGUGCAAAGGUAGCAUAAUCAUUAGUUCUUUAAUUGUGAUCUGGUAUGAAUGGCUUGACGAGACGUGAGCUGUCUUAGGGGUAUUUUGUUUGAAUUUGGUUUUUGAGUUAAAAUUCUUAGAUGUUUUUAUGGGACGAGAAGACCCUAUAGAGUUUAAUAUUUUUCUUAUUAUGUUGUUGUGUUUGUUUCAUUAUUUUUAGUGGGUUAAGUAUUUUGUUGGGGUGAUGGGAGGAAUUUAUUUAACUCCUCUUUAUUUUGAUAUAUUGAUUUAUAUGUUUUUGAUCCAUUUAUUUUGAUUAUAAGAUUAAAUUACCUUA